rnacentral:rRNA from 1 species
GAACGCUAGCUACAGGGCUUAACACAUGCAAGUCGAGGGGCAGCAUGGUCUUAGCUUGCUAAGGCCGAUGGCGACCGGCGCACGGGUGAGUAACACGUAUCCAACCUGCCGUCUACUCUUGGACAGCCUUCUGAAAGGAAGAUUAAUACAAGAUGGCAUCAUGAGUCCGCAUGUUCACAUGAUUAAAGGUAUUCCGGUAGACGAUGGGGAUGCGUUCCAUUAGAUAGUAGGCGGGGUAACGGCCCACCUAGUCUUCGAUGGAUAGGGGUUCUGAGAGGAAGGUCCCCCACAUUGGAACUGAGACACGGUCCAAACUCCUACGGGAGGCAGCAGUGAGGAAUAUUGGUCAAUGGGCGAGAGCCUGAACCAGCCAAGUAGCGUGAAGGAUGACUGCCCUAUGGGUUGUAAACUUCUUUUAUAAAGGAAUAAAGUCGGGUAUGGAUACCCGUUUGCAUGUACUUUAUGAAUAAGGACCGGCUAAUUCCGUG